UAGUACCAUGGCCAAGGAACAAAAGGCAAAGUUUUAUAUUGUAAAAAGGUGCAUCGCGAUGCUUGUACGAUGGAACAAGCAUGACAAGCACGGAGAUUCUUGACAGCGACUUAACUUUUAUCAGCGAUCCUAGGAUUGUGGCACCUUUUGUUAUGUGGCAGCUAGAUCGAUUUAACUUUUAUCAGCGAUCCUAGGAUUGUGGCACCUUUUGUUAUGUGGCAGCUAGACUUUACUUGCCACAAAAAGUCUGAUUUCUUGUAGUCAUGAAGAUAAUGAUAGUGAAUUUAAUUUCUGCAAGGAAGAGUCUUACUUUCUCCUAAUUUUCCUUCUACUUGCAAGAUGAAUCUUGGUUUAAUUUGUGAUUAAGAUAAGUUUCUGUUGCACCUUAGUAUUGAGAAGAAUAUAGAUCAUAGUAAAAACUCUUUCUCUGUAUUUGGAUUAGAAUGUAACUUCAGCAGGGAGAGCUGCAGUGAAACUACAAGGGUACCACAUUGCAAAAAAAUUGUAAUAUAUGAUAGUAUCAAUAUUGAUUAAAUUAGCAUUAUUGCAUUCUGCUAAAAACUAUGUCACAUGGUGUUACAAGAAAAUAGGUUUUCAUUGUCUGCCCCCCCCCCCCCCCCAACAAGCAU
rnacentral:lncRNA from 1 species